AGACAAGAGGACGUCUGUAAUGC
rnacentral:siRNA from 1 species